UCACAAACUAUCAUAACAAAUGAAACAAGAAAAUGUACCUAAACCUAAUAACAUGACACGUGAAACAAGAAAAUGCACCUACAGAAAGACGGACGCUGUCAAAUCUGGCAGAGCAGAGGUCGUGAGUUCGAAACAUGGGGCUCUUGGAAGGCAAGGAUUUAUUCUUGGAAGGCAAGGGAACAUUUGGAAGGCAAGGAUUUAUUCUUGGAAGGCAAGUGGGAACUUAGAAGGCAAGGAUUAUUCUUGGAAGGCAAGGUGCAACUUGGAUUGACUUGCUUGGCACUUUGUCAGACCAGGUGGGGAGCGCUCGGACCCUGGCCAGUUGGAGGCACAUCCUGCGAUUAACCGGACUGUGUGAAGAGGGGCCGGAACUUAGUACAAAGUUCUAAUAAUAAUAUCACAAACUAUCAUAACAAAUGAAACAAGAAAAUGUACCUAAACCUAAUUACAUGACACGUGAAACAAGAAAAUGCACCUACAGAAAGAACAAAUUAAUGAGGUCAAAAUGUUUCUCCAUUAUUAAAUCCCCUGAAAUCCACUAAUGAUUUCUAAACUCGUCCUUUAAAAUUUUACUAAAUUCAUCAUCUGAAUAAUCUUCCGUGGACGAACCUUGAAGUGAACCAUGAAGAGGAACCUCUAGGUAUCUUCCGUGGACGAACCUUGAAG
rnacentral:lncRNA from 1 species